rnacentral:rRNA from 1 species
AUUGAACGCUGGCGGCAUGCUUUACACAUGCAAGUCGAACGGCAGCGCGGGCUAUGGCCUGGAGGCGAAUGGCGAACGGGUGAGUAAUACAUCGGAAGGGGCCCAGUAGUGGGGGAUAGCUCGGCGAAAGCCGGAGUAAGACCGCAUACGAUAUGAAGGUGGAAGAGGGGGAUCUUCUGACAACGAGCUAAUUGAAUGGCCGAUGGCUGAUUAGGCAGUUGGUGGGGUAAAGGCCUACCAAGGCGCUGAACUGUAGCUGGUCUGAGAGGACGACCGGCAACAUUGGAAUGGGACCACGCCCCAGAUCCCUCGGGGGGGCACAGUUGGGGAUUUUUGGCCAUGGGGCGAAGUCUUGCUCCAGCAAUGCGGCGUGUUGGAUGAAGUCUUUCGGGUUGUAAAGCACGUUUGGCGGGAACGAAAAUGACUGUGCCAAUACCACGGUUCGAUGACGGUACCCGCAGAGUAAGCACCGGCUAACUACGUG